UGGGCUUGACAUGGCGCUGCAAGCGCACGGAAACGUGUGACCUUCGAGGGUGCGCCACAGAUGCUGCAUGGCUGUCGUCAGCUCGUGUCGUGAGAUGUUGGGUUAAGUCCCGCAACGAGCGCAACCCUUGCCAUUAGUUGCCACAUUAAGUUGGGCACUCUAAUGGGACUGCCGGUGAUAAGCCGCGAGGAAGGUGGGGAUGACGUUUCCAGGUUAGG
rnacentral:misc_RNA from 1 species